UCCUCUCAAAUGAAUUAGCGGGGUCCUCUUUGCCGAUCCUCGACAUGUGAUAAGAUGUUUCCAUGUCUUGGCUUUAUGGCUCUGUUGCCUUUGGGACCCGCUUCUAACCGUCUCAGCGAGACAACGUUCGAGCGUGUCUGACGCUCUUGAACCCACGAAACCUUGACCUCAAAUCGGGUGAGACUACCCGCUGAACUUAA
rnacentral:misc_RNA from 1 species